AUCAAAAUAUAUCUUAUUUUAAAAUUUUAUUUUUAAAAAUAUAUUGAUAGUUGGAAUAUUUAACUGUAAAAACAGAAAUUUUCCAUUUCCCAGUUCCACAAAAGAAUUCUUUAUAUAUAGAGUCUCGGCUUCCAAAAGAAAGACUGGCAGCUAGGUGAUCCAUUGGGGAGAAGAGAAAAGGUGAACAAUUGAGUUGAGUUGCAGAGAUGAUGUUUCAGAGAUUGGAGAUGUGCAUACAAUUAAUAAGAUUAGCGUUGGAGUUCGUAUUCAUUGUAGCUGAAGCAAUCGGAAUCGUGAUUGAGCAGGAUUCUUCUCAUCGUUACAUCCCAACCCAAACUUUUGCUGUUCCUGUUCCUUUUGUUGGCUUUCUUCCAUGAAAAUAUCUCUCCAUAUCUGCAGAUUUCUUCCAGAAAUGGCAAUUUCUGAUCCAGGUUGACUUCCUCUUCUUCUUCCCCAGGUUUUGGGAAGAGACACGGAAUUUGCACAUACAAAAUUGUGAUUUGUAGUUUGUGAUGAGAGAAUCCCUUGUUUGUUAAUUGAUUCAGAUUUCUGUUUCCUAAUCUAUCUUGUUUAAAAAAUGAGAAUUGAUGAAAGAGAAAAACUGAGGUUUGUUAAUGGAGUCUAUUAAUGGCGAGUCAUUUUCAUUAUCCACACUAUAAUAAUCCAUUGGCAAGAAUUGAAAUUUGUGA